UACGAAGGGGGCUAGCGUUGUUCGGAAUCACUGGGCGUAAAGGGCGCGUAGGCGGCUUUAUAAGUCGGGGGUGAAAGCCUGUGGCUCAACCACAGAAUUGCCUUCGAUAUUGUAGAGCUUGAGACCGGAAGAGGUAAGUGGAACUGCGAGUGUAGAGGUGAAAUUCGUAGAUAUUCGCAAGAACACCAGUGGCGAAGGCGGCUUACUGGUCCGGUUCUGACGCUGAGGCGCGAAAGCGUGGGGAGCAAACAGG
rnacentral:rRNA from 1 species